GAUUAGCUUGUUGGUGAGGUAACGGCUCACCAAGGCGACGAUCCCUAGCUGGUCUGAGAGGAUGACCAGCCACACUGGAACUGAGACACGGUCCAGACUCCUACGGGAGGCAGCAGUGGGGAAUAUUGCACAAUGGGCGCAAGCCUGAUGCAGCCAUGCCGCGUGUAUGAAGAAGGCCUUCGGGUUGUAAAGUACUUUCAGCGGGGAGGAAGGUGUUGUGGUUAAUAACCGCAGCAAUUGACGUUACCCGCAGAAGAAGCACCGGCUAACUCCGUGCCAGCAGCCGCGGUAAUACGGAGGGUGCAAGCGUUAAUCGGAAUUACUGGGCGUAAAGCGCACGCAGGCGGUCUGUCAAGUCGGAUGUGAAAUCCCCGGGCUCAACCUGGGAACUGCAUUCGAAACUGGCAGGCUUGAGUCUUGUAGAGGGGGGUAGAAUUCCAGGUGUAGCGGUGAAAUGCGUAGAGAUCUGGAGGAAUACCGGUGGCGAAGGCGGCCCCCUGGACAAAGACUGACGCUCAGGUGCGAAAGCGUGGGGAGCAAACAGGAUUAGAUACCCUGGUAGUCCACGCCGUAAACGAUGUCUACUUGGAGGUUGUGCCCUUGAGGCGUGGCUUCCGGAGCUAACGCGUUAAGUAGACCGCCUGGGGAGUACGGCCGCAAGGUUAAAACUCAAAUGAAUUGACGGGGGCCCGCACAAGCGGUGGAGCAUGUGGUUUAAUUCGAUGCAACGCGAAGAACCUUACCUGGUCUUGACAUCCACGGAAGUUUUCAGAGAUGAGAAUGUGCCUUCGGGAACCGUGAGACAGGUGCUGCAUGGCUGUCGUCAGCUCGUGUUGUGAAAUGUUGGGUUAAGUCCCGCAACGAGCGCAACCCUUAUCCUUUGUUGCCAGCGAUUAGGUCGGGAACUCAAAGGAGACUGCCAGUGAUAAACUGGAGGAAGGUAGGGAUGACGUCAAGUCAUCAUGGCCCUUACGACCAGGGCUACACACGUGCUACAAUGGCGCAUACAAAGAGAAGCGACCUCGCGAGAGCAAGCGGACCUCAUAAAGUGCGUCGUAGUCCGGAUUGGAGUCUGCAACUCGACUCCAUGAAGUUGGAAUCGCUAGUAAUCGUGGAUCAGAAUGCCACGGUGAAUACGUUCCCGGGCCUUGUACACACCGCCCGUCACACCAUGGGAGUGGGUUGCAAAAG
rnacentral:rRNA from 1 species